rnacentral:rRNA from 1 species
UGGGGAAUUUUGGACAAUGGACGCAAGUCUGAUCCAGCCAUGCCGCGUGCGGGAAGAAGGCCUUCGGGUUGUAAACCGCUUUUGUCAGGGAAGAAACGAGUUUCUCUAAUACAGAGACUUAAUGACGGUACCUGAAGAAUAAGCACCGGCUAACUACGUGCCAGCAGCCGCGGUAAUACGUAGGGUGCGAGCGUUAAUCGGAAUUACUGGGCGUAAAGCGUGCGCAGGCGGUUAUAUAAGACAGAUGUGAAAUCCCCGGGCUCAACCUGGGAAUUGCAUUUGUGACUGCAUCGCUGGAGUGCGGCAGAGGGGGAUGGAAUUCCGCGUGUAGCAGUGAAAUGCGUAGAUAUGCGGAGGAACACCGAUGGCGAAGGCAAUCCCCUGGACCUGUACUGACGCUCAUGCACGAAAGCGUGGGGAGCAAACA